rnacentral:piRNA from 1 species
UGCAGAUCCUGGUGGUGGGAGAACCUAGA